rnacentral:rRNA from 1 species
UCGAGAAUUUUUCGCAAUGGGGGAAACCCUGACGGAGCGACGCCGCGUGGAGGAUGAAGGUCUUCGGAUUGUAAACUCCUGUCAUUUGAGAACAAGUGGUUGGGUGGUAACUCACCUGGCUUUGAUAGUAUCAGAAGAGGAAGAGGCGGCUAACUCUGUGCCAGCAGCCGCGGUAAUACAGAGGCCUCAAGCGUUGUUCGGAUUCAUUGGGCGUAAAGGGUGCGUAGGCGGUCGGGUAAGUCGGAUGUGAAAUCCUGGGGCUCAACCUCAGAACUGCAUUCGAUACUGCUUGGCUGGAGGAUUGGAGAGGAGAGUGGAAUUCACGGUGUAGCAGUGAAAUGCGUAGAGAUCGUGAGGAAGACCAACGGCGAAGGCAGCUCUCUGGACAAUUCCUGACGCUGAGGCACGAAGGCUAGGGGAGCAAACGG